GAUGAAGAACGUAGCGAAAUGCGAUAAGUAAUGUGAAUUGCAGAAUUCAGUGAACCAUCGAAUCUUUGAACGCACAUUGCGCCCGGCAGUAAUCUGCCGGGCAUGCCUGUCCGAGCGUCAUUUCUCCCCUCGAGCGCAGCUUUCCCCCCCGGGGGAGGGCCGCGCCCGGUGUUGGGGCGCUACGGAGGAGCCCAGCGCUCCCCCGUAAGCCCCGAAAUGUAGUGGCGGUCCCGCCGCGGCGCCCCCUGCGUAGUAGUUUUACAACUCGCAUCGGGUCCCGGCGGAGGCCAGCCGUCAAACCCCCCAACUUCAAUAGUUUGACCUCGGAUCAGGUAGGGUUACCCGCUGAACUUAAGCAUAUCAAUAAGCGGAGGA
rnacentral:misc_RNA from 1 species